GGUGAAGUGGGUGAUCCUAUGCUGUCGAGAAAAACCUCUAGCGAGCAACGAGCCGCCCGUACCCCAAACCGACUCAGGUGGUCAGGUAGAGAAUACCAAGGAGAUCGAGAGAAUCGUGGUUAAGGAACUCGGCAAAAUGCCCCCGUAACUUCGGGAGAAGGGGGGCCUCGACUGUGAAGCCCACAUGCUGGGUGGAGGCGGUUCGAGGCCGCAGAGACCAGGGGGAAGCGACUGUUUACUAAAAACACAGGUCUCUGCGAAAGCGUAAGCUGACGUAUAGGGACUGACGCCUGCCCGGUGCCGGAAGGUUAAAAGGAGAUGUGAGAGCGUCGAAUUGAAGCCCCGGUGAACGGCGGCCGUAACAAUAACGGUCCUAAGGUAGCGAAAUUCCUUGUCGGGUAAG
rnacentral:rRNA from 1 species